UGCCCUGCUUCCAGGAAAAGCCUCUAAGCAUCAGGUAACAUCAAAUCGUACCCCAAACCGACACAGGUGGUCAGGUAGAGAAUACCAAGGCGCUUGAGAGAACUCGGGUGAAGGAACUAGGCAAAAUGGUGCCGUAACUUCGGGAGAAGGCACGCUGACACGUAGGUGAAGUGAUUUACUCAUGGAGCUGAAGUCAGUCGAAGAUACCAGCUGGCUGCAACUGUUUAUUAAAAACACAGCACUGUGCAAACACGAAAGUGGACGUAUACUGUGUGACGCCUGCCCGGUGCCGGAAGGUUAAUUGAUGGGGUCAGCGCAAGCGAAGCUCCUGAUCGAAGCCCCGGUAAACGGCGGCCGUAACUAUAACGGUCCUAAGGUAGCGAAAUUCCUUGUCGGGUAAGUUCCGACCUGCACGAAUGGCGUAAUGAUGGCCAGGCUGUCUCCACCCGAGACUCAGUGAAAUUGAACUCGCUGUGAAGAUGCAGUGUACCCGCGGCAAGACGGAAAGACCCCGUGAACCUUUACUAUAGCUUGACACUGAACAUUGAGCCUUGAUGUGUAGGAUAGGUGGGAGGCUUUGAAGUGUGGACGCCAGUCUGCAUGGAGCCGACCUUGAAAUACCACCCUUUAAUGUUUGAUGUUCUAACGUGGACCCGUAAUCCGGGUUGCGGACAGUGUCUGGUGGGUAGUUUGACUGGGGCGGUCUCCUCCUAAAGAGUAACGGAGGAGCACGAAGGUUGGCUAAUCCUGGUCGGACAUCAGGAGGUUAGUGCAAUGGCAUAAGCCAGCUUGACUGCGAGCGUGACGGCGCGAGCAGGUGCGAAAGCAGGUCAUAGUGAUCCGGUGGUUCUGAAUGGAAGGGCCAUCGCUCAACGGAUAAAAGGUACUCCGGGGAUAACAGGCUGAUACCGCCCAAGAGUUCAUAUCGACGGCGGUGUUUGGCACCUCGAUGUCGGCUCAUCACAUCCUGGGGCUGAAGUAGGUCCCAAGGGUAUGGCUGUUCGCCAUUUAAAGUGGUACGCGAGCUGGGUUUAGAACGUCGUGAGACAGUUCGGUCCCUAUCUGCCGUGGGCGCUGGAGAACUGAGGGGGGCUGCUCCUAGUACGAGAGGACCGGAGUGGACGCAUCACUGGUGUUCGGGUUGUCAUGCCAAUGGCACUGCCCGGUAGCUAAAUGCGGAAGAGAUAAGUGCUGAAAGCAUCUAAGCACGAAACUUGCCCCGAGAUGAGUUCUCCCUGAGACUUAGAGUCUCCUGAAGGAACGUUGAAGACGACGACGUUGAUAGGCCGGGUGUGUAAGCGCAGCGAUGCGUUGAGCUAACCGGUACUAAUGAACCGUGAGGCUUAACCUU
rnacentral:rRNA from 1 species